rnacentral:rRNA from 1 species
GACGAACCGUCCAAACGUUAUUCGGAAUCACUGGGCUUAAAGGGUGCGUAGGCGGCGCGGGAAGUUGGGUGUGAAAUCCCUCGGCUCAACCGAGGAACUGCGCCCAAAACUGCCGUGCUCGAGGGAGACAGAGGUGAGCGGAACUUAGGGUGGAGCGGUGAAAUGCGUUGAUAUCCUAAGGAACACCGGUGGCGAAAGCGGCUCACUGGGUCUUUUCUGACGCUGAGGCACGAAAGCUAGGGGAGCGAAGAGG